UACGUAGGGUGCGAGCGUUAAUCGGAAUUACUGGGCGUAAAGCGUGCGCAGGCGGUUUUUUAAGAUAGGCGUGAAAUCCCCGGGCUCAACCUGGGAACUGCGCUUAUGACUGGAAGACUAGAGUAUGGCAGAGGGGGGUGGAAUUCCACGUGUAGCAGUGAAAUGCGUAGAGAUGUGGAGGAACACCGAUGGCGAAGGCAGCCCCCUGGGCCAAUACUGACGCUCAUGCACGAAAGCGUGGGGAGCAAACAGG
rnacentral:rRNA from 1 species